UGGGGUGUAGCCAAGCGGUAAGGCAACGGACUUUGACUCCGUCACGCGAAGGUUCGAUUCCUUCCACCCCAGCCA
rnacentral:tRNA from 1 species